CACCCCCUUGCUAGAGUCUGUUGAUGCACCACCUUGCUCAAUCAAACUUACGGCACCCCAACAGCAUAGCCAGUUCAGGACCUUCCCAUCACCAACAAUCCAGAGUGAUGGCAUGACAGAGGGUGGAAAUUUCCAGCUGGCUGCACGACAGUUAAUCCCGAUGAGGCAGAAUGGAGCGCCGUGAAAUGAGUCUACACCUGACAGUACCAUCCGAGCUACGGACCAUCGACUGGAUUCAGACGACCAUCCAACAGGAAGUCCCACAUGACACCACGGUUCAUUAUCCUCAUGUCAUUCCGUGUGUUGCCCCAGUCCUGGUUCCCUGCCUUCAACAGCUAGAUCACAAAGCCCACCGCCCCCAGCUCCCCCCCCCCCCAGAUACGGACACACCGGCUGUGACCCUAAAGAGGAAGCAGGGAACGUUGUUCCACUGCAUAAAUCACCUAAGGUACGGGAUGCUGAUUUUUUUCUUCUGAGUGGCCAUUUUGUUUCAAAAUGAAGGAAAUGGCCGUGACUCUCUAACAGCGUAUUAUAGGCCAGACAUGGGGGAGGGAGAGUGGAGCAGA